UACGGGGGGGAGCAAGCGUUGUUCGGAUUUACUGGGCGUAAAGGGCGCGUAGGCGGCCAGCACAAGUCAGUUGUGAAAUCUCCGGGCUUAACUCGGAAAGGUCAACUGAUACUGUGCGGCUAGAGUGCAGAAGGGGCAACUGGAAUUCUCGGUGUAGCGGUGAAAUGCGUAGAUAUCGAGAGGAACACCUGCGGCGAAGGCGGGUUGCUGGGCUGACACUGACGCUGAUGCGCGAAAGCCAGGGGAGCGAAGCGGG
rnacentral:rRNA from 1 species